ensembl:lncRNA novel transcript
UUUUGCUCUCCUGGCCUCCGUGCCCCCGGUGUUUGGACUCUACACUUCUUUCUUCCCCGUCCUCAUCUACAGCUUGCUAGGUACUGGGAGACACCUGUCCACAGGAACUUUCGCCAUACUCAGCCUCAUGACAGGCUCGGCCGUCGAGCGGCUGGUGCCGGAACCCCUCGUGGGGAAUCUGAGCGGAAUCGAGAAGGAGCAGCUGGACGCUCAACGGGUUGGGGUAGCCGCGGCCGUGGCCUUCGGGAGCGGGGCGUUGAUGCUGGGGAUGUUCGUGCUGCAGCUCGGCGUCUUGUCCACCUUUUUGUCCGAGCCUGUGGUCAAGGCGCUGACCAGCGGGGCCGCGCUGCACGUGCUCUUGUCCCAGCUGCCGAGCCUCUUGGGGUUGUCCCUCCCGCGCCAGAUCGGCUGCUUCUCUCUCUUCAAGACGCUGGCCUCCUUGCUGACUGCGCUGCCUCGGAGCAGUCCGGCCGAACUGACCAUCUCCGCGCUCAGCCUGGCGCUGCUCGUGCCGGUCAAGGAAUUGAACGUGAGAUUCCGAGACCGGCUACCCACGCCGAUCCCGGGGGAAGUCGUCUUGGUGCUUCUGGCCUCCGUGCUCUGCUUCACCUCUUCUGUGGACACAAGAUACCAAGUCCAGAUAGUGGGGCUGUUGCCUGGAGGAUUUCCCCAACCCCUCCUCCCCAACCUGGCUGAGCUGCCCAGGAUUCUGGCUGACUCGCUGCCCAUUGCACUGGUUAGUUUUGCGGUGUCUGCCUCCCUGGCCUCCAUCCAUGCAGACAAGUAUAGCUACACUAUUGACUCCAACCAGGAGUUCCUGGCACAUGGUGCCUCCAACCUCAUCUCCUCCCUCUUCUCUUGCUUUCCCAACUCGGCUACGCUGGCCACCACCAAUCUACUGGUGGAUGCUGGUGGGAAAACACAGCUGGCAGGCCUCUUCUCCUGCACAGUGGUCCUGUCGGUGCUGCUGUGGCUGGGGCCCUUCUUUUACUAUCUGCCCAAGGCUGUCCUGGCUUGCAUCAACAUCUCCAGCAUGCGCCAGGUGUUCUGCCAGAUGCAGGAACUUCCACAACUAUGGCACAUCAGCCGAGUGGACUUUGCUGUGUGGAUGGUCACCUGGGUGGCAGUAGUGACCCUGAGUGUGGAUUUGGGCCUGGCUGUGGGUGUGGUCUUCUCCAUGAUGACUGUGGUCUGCCGCACCCGGAGCUCCUCCAGGUCCCGGGGCUCUGCAUCCUGAGCUAUCCAACACCACUGUACUUUGGGACCCGUGGGCAGUUUCGCUGCAACCUGGAGUGGCACCUGGGGCUCGGAGAAGGAGAAAAGGAGACUUCAAAGCCAGAUGGCCCAAUGGUUGCAGUUGCUGAGCCUGUCAGGGUGGUGGUCCUAGACUUCAGUGGUGUCACCUUUGCAGAUGCUGCUGGGGCCAGAGAAGUGGUGCAGCUGGCCAGCCGAUGUCGAGAUGCUAGGAUCCGCCUCCUCCUGGCUCAGUGUAAUGCCUUGGUGCAGGGGACACUGACCCGGGUAGGACUCCUGGACAGGGUGACUCCAGAUCAGCUGUUUGUGAGUGUGCAGGAUGCAGCUGCUUAUGCCCUGGGGAGCCUGUUAAGGGGCAGUAGCACCAGGAGCGGGAGCCAGGAGGCACUGGGCUGCGGCAAGUGAGGCAGGGGAGCUCACUGACCCAAAGAUUUGCACCGUGUGGGUCUGACCUCAUCAUGUGGAGUGCAGAGGGCCCUGAUGACAUGUGUGUGAUGAGGACCAUGACCCUUGAACCCCCUUACCUAACGUAACUAAUAAAAUGAAGCUGAGAGCUUUGGAAUCC